CCAGCGUGAGCAGCUCUGCUCUUACUGCCUCAUUAUCCCAGCAUUCAGAACUGAAAUAGGGCCUGAAAGCUGAAAUAGGACCUUUUAAACUGACAAAGGAUUUUUUUUGUGCAUGAAAUGACAAGACUCCAGGAGGAAGAGCCUCAAAAAUGCCCCAAAUGUGAUGGAUUUGGGGCAGUUCUGGUUGAAGGGGCAGAGGAAGCUUUAUAUUCACCUUCUGAAGAGCUGAGGAGAUGUACAGAGCUGUCUUCAUCCAGGUCUGUCUUCCUCCAACCACGACUCCAAGCCCACAUUCUUCUUCCAUAUGUCCAUAUCCACCUCCUGUCACGACUUUAAAACUCUGUGACAGAAAAGUCUUUCCAGCCUGGAUCUGACAUGGGGAUCACUCUGUAUUUAAAGACCAAAGUGACCACAAAGUACGAAAAAUAAGAAGACCUUCAAGCAUUGACAUCUGUAAGGGGUUCCUGCUUUUCCUGGUGCUCAGAUGAGAUCAAGCAGUCUGGGAGGACAUGGUAGCUAAAGAAAUUGGCAUUUCUGUGCUGUGGAAAUGCCUUCUGGAUUGGGAAAGGAGUGGAAUUUCUCACUGCCUGAAAUCCUCUGAGGUGAAGCACAUUGCAAGAUAAAAGGCUGCUCUGGAAAAAUUAAACUUAAAA